CCGCCUGGGGAAGCCAGUCCGGUCCGGUCCGGCAUGGUGCACCAACUCUUGCUGGUUCGAUAUACCGGCCCGUACCGGCUUACUUUCACCUACUAAUAAAGUGAACGUACCAUUUUUGUUGUUUAAUCUUUAAGGCCGAGAACCUUGUAUCCAGCUCAGACUGCAGAUUGCCUGCUCGUGUCAGCUAACAGAGCUUCAGAGUUCAACUCCCAGAAGUGCCCCUAAAGUGAAUUAUAUGACAGUCCUUGCAUGACUGUCAGCAAUGAAGAAGAGGGAAGUAGAGAUAGACAGAAGACACAGUGUUGGCAAUGGAAGACCAAUUUCUAAUGCUUUGAUGAGUGAAAAGUGGGGGAAAAAUAUCUGGAGCAGGAGCUGGAUAGGAGGCUAUUUCCAACUGUAUUUAAGAGGAACAACAGGAAAGCAUUACAUAGGAGCCAAGAGACAAGAAAAUGUAUUUCAUUAUGGAACAUACAUGUGGAGUCUUAGACAAGUUGAAAGUUUCUCUUUAAAGGGUGGUUAUGAUAAAAAAAGAUAGUCCUCUUUGGUUUCCAUAUUUAUUCUACAUCAGUAACUUCUGCGUCAAUAUUUCAAGUUAAAACU